rnacentral:lncRNA from 1 species
CGAGAUUCUUUUGUUUUUAAUUAGUUCGUUUCGUUAUACGUUUUGAAAAUUAGUAUUGCCUCUCAUGAUUAUAUCUUGUCAAAUUCAUUGUGAUUGUUUCGUUUGGCGUUCAUAGUUGGAACUCAUAUUUGUACUCUGUAGACUAGUACAACAUAUCUAAAUUUAUUUUGAUAUUGUAGUAAUGUGCAUGUUAAUAUUUUUGGAGACUUUGUGUUGAUAUCUCGUUUCAGUUUAACAUGUACAUGUUAGAACCACUUUGUUGUGUCGCAUGUCUUGUGACAUUAUAUUUUGUUAGAAUACCGUAGGGUAUACCUGAGCUAUAACCACCUGUGGGGGUACCACAGGCAUGUCCUCUUGGCACCGAGGCAUGACACCUUCCGUGGCGGUGUGAUCAGUCCACGGCGUCUCCGUUUUGUGCUCCGGUGGGAGUUGGCCAGUUGGUGUUUUGUUGUGGGAGGCGUAUGGGUCAACCCUAGUUUUCUGUUCUGUUCUG